rnacentral:rRNA from 1 species
UACGGAGGGUGCAAGCGUUAUCCGGAUUCACUGGGUUUAAAGGGUGCGUAGGUGGGUCUGUAAGUCCGUGGUGAAAUCUCCAAGCUUAACUUGGAAACUGCCAUGGAUACUAUAGGUCUUGAAUACCGUGGAGGUGAGCGGAAUAUGUCAUGUAGCGGUGAAAUGCUUAGAUAUGACAUAGAACACCAAAUUGCGAAGGCAGCUCACUACACAAAUAUUGACACUGAGGCACGAAAGCGUGGGGAUCAAACAGG